AGGCUGCAACUCGCCUACACGAAGUUGGAAUUGCUAGUAAUCGUGGAUCAGCAUGCCACGGUGAAUACGUUCCCGGGCCUUGUACACACCGCCCGUCACACCAUGGGAGCCGGUAAUACCCGAAGUCAGUAGUCCAACCUCGUGAGGACGCUGCCGAAGGUAGGAUUGGCGACUGGGGUGAAGUCGUAACAAGGUAGC
rnacentral:rRNA from 1 species